GGAAGGGGUCCGGGUGGUGAGGAAGCCGCCUUGAAAGCGGUUGGCCCAUUGGGCUUGCAGGUUCGAAUCCUGUCCCUUCCGCCA
rnacentral:tRNA from 1 species